rnacentral:rRNA from 1 species
UGAACUGUGGUUAAGGAACUCGGCAAAUUGCCCCCGUAACUUCGGGAGAAGGGGGGCCUCCGCUGGUGAUCAGACUUGCUUUGUGAGCUGGUGGGGGUCGCAGAGGCCAGGGGGAAGCGACUGUUUACUAAAAACACAGGUCCGUGCGAAGUCGUAAGACGAUGUAUACGGACUGACGCCUGCCCGGUGCUGGGACGUUAAGGGGACCGGUUAGCGCACUUUCGGGUGUGCGAGGCUGAGAACUUAAGCGCCAGUAAACGGCGGUGGUAACUAUAACCAUCCUAAGGUAGCGAAAUUCCUUGUCGGGUAAGUUCCGACCUGCACGAAUGGCGUAACGACUUCCCCGCUGUCUCAACCGCAGACCCGGCGAAAUUGCACUACGAGUAAAGAUGCUCGUUACGCGCAGCAGGACGGAAAGACCCCGGGACCUUCACUACAGCUUGACAUUGGCGUUUGGAACGUCUUGUGUAGGAUAGGUGGGAGACGGUGAAGCUGUCACGCUAGUGGCGGUGGAGUCAUUGGUGAAAUACCACUCUGGUCGUUUUGAACGUCUAACUUCGGUCCGUGAUCCGGAUCAGGGACAGUGUCUGGUGGGUAGUUUAACUGGGGCGGUUGCCUCCUAAAGAGUAACGGAGGCGCCCAAAGGUUCCCUCAGCCUGGUUGGUAAUCAGGUGUCGAGUGUAAGUGCACAAGGGAGCUUGACUGUGAGACCGACGGGUCGAGCAGGAGCGAAAGCUGGGACUAGUGAUCCGGCGGUGGCAUGUGGAAGCGCCGUCGCUCAACGGCUAAAAGGUACCCCGGGGAUAACAGGCUGAUCUUCCCCAAGAGUCCAUAUCGACGGGAUGGUUUGGCACCUCGAUGUCGGCUCGUCGCAUCCUGGGGCUGGAGUAGGUCCCAAGGGUUGGGCUGUUCGCCCAUUAAAGCGGUACGCGAGCUGGGUUUAGAACGUCGCGAGACAGUUCGGUCCCUAUCCGCUGCGCGCGCAGGAGACUUGAAAGGAGCUGUCCCUAGUACGAGAGGACCGGGACGGACGAACCUCUGGUGUGCCAGUUGUUCCGCCAGGAGCAUGGCUGGUUGGCUACGUUCGGAAGGGAUAACCGCUGAAAGCAUCUAAGCGGGAAGCUCGCCUUGAGAUGAGGUCUCCCACCACGAAAGUGGGUAAGGCCCCCGGGAGACGACCGGGUUGAUAGGCCGGAGGUGGAAGCAUGGUAACGUGUGGAGCUGACCGGUACUAAUAGGCCGAGGACUUGACCUC